UUUAAGCCCACAGGACUGCUGAACAUCAAGGUGCCAUGCCGAUGCAUCCAUCAUGUUCUCAGAAGAUACAGUCGUUACAAUUACACGUUAAGUGAACCAAAGGAAUUUUCCACGCAUCGCCUCCGUUCAACUUUGAGAUCCUUACCGUCCACUGCACAGGAUGUAUCGUGUCCUUGGACGUAGCAUGCGUGUUUAUCUCAUUUCCCAAUGUUUUUCCACGCAGUUUGAGGAUACAGGGCAGGAAACAUCGAAGGACACUAUAGAACGCCCCACCCAACACAAACAAAGGAGUAACAGGUUGAUGCAAUACUAUGUUUUAAAUGAGAUUAAAGGUUGGCGUUUUCCCCCUUUAAAAAUAAUGACAUUCACUGACACAUGUUGUAUUUUGUUUCCGAAUUCAUCACUUUGCAUUUAGUUACUGAAAUUUUCUCCAGAUGACCUUUCCCUCAAUUUGGCUGAGACGCUUCAGAGGAACCCCAAAAUAGCUGGCACCAUUGUUACAUUCUGUCUGCAUUUCCAAUUAAACGUGUGUUACAGCAU